GAUCUUGAGGGAAGCGGUGAACCCUCGAGCCCAAGACGGGCGCCAGGGGCCGAGGGGGAGCGAGUGGCGCGACCGGCCCUCUGCACA
rnacentral:ncRNA from 2 species